CCCUUAGAUGUCCUGGGCCGCACGCGUGCUACACUGAUGCAUACAGCGAGCACUUCCCGGCCCCGAAAGGCGGCUGGUAAUCAGCAAUAUGCAUCGUGAUGGGGAUAGAUCUUUGGAAUUCUUGAUCUUGAACGAGGAAUGCCUAGUAGGCGCAAGUCAUUACCUUGCGUCGAUUAAGUCCCUGCCCUUUGUACACACCGCCCGUCGCUCCUACCGAUUCGAGUGAUCCGGUGAACCUUUUGGACCGAGGCUGUCUCGGCAGUCUUGGGAAAUCAAGUAAACCACGUCACUUAGAGGAAGGAGAAGUCGUAACA
rnacentral:rRNA from 1 species